UGGGGAAUAUUGCACAAUGGAGGGAACUCUGAUGCAGCGACGCCGCGUGAACGAAGAAGGCUUUCGAGUCGUAAAGUUCUUUUAUAUGGGAAGAUAAUGACGGUCCCAUAAGAAAAAGCCCCGGCUAACUACGUGCCAGCAGCCGCGGUAAUACGUAGGGGGCUAGCGUUGUCCGGAAUCACUGGGCGUAAAGGGUUCGCAGGCGGAAAUGCAAGUCAGGUGUAAAAGGCAGUAGCUUAACUACUGUAAGCAUUAGAAACUGCAUAUCUUGAGAGUAGUAGAGGUAAGUGGAAUUUUUGGUGUAGCGGUGAAAUGCGUAGAUAUUAAAAAGAAAACCGGAGGCGAAGGCGACUUACUGGGCUCAUUCUGACGCUGAGGAACGAAAGCGUGGGUAGCAAACAGG
rnacentral:rRNA from 1 species